ensembl:lncRNA
CCGACACGCAGCUACCGACACGCGGGCGAGACUACCGACACGCAGCUACCGACACGCAGCUACCGACACGCAGCUACCGACACGCAGCUACCGACACGCAGCUACCGACACGCAGCUACCGACACGCAGCUACCGACACGCGGGCGAGACUACCGACACGCAGCUACCGACACGCAGGCGAGACUACCGACACGCAGCUACCGACACGCAACUAGUGACACGCAGGCGAGACUACCGACACGCAACUAGUGACACGCAACUAGUGACACGCGGGCGAGAAUACCGACACGCAGCUACCGACACGCAACUAGUGACACGCAGCUACCGACACGCAACUAGUGACACGCAACUAGUGACACGCAACUAGUGACACGCAGGCGAGACUACCGACACGCAACUAGUGACACGCAACUAGUGACACGCAACUAGUGACACGCAACUAGUGACACGCAACUAGUGACACGCAGGCGAGACUACCGACACGCAGCUACCGACACGCAGCUACCGACACGCAGCUACCGACACGCAGCUACCGACACGCAGCUACCGACACGCAACUAGUGACACGCAACUAGUGACACGCAACUACCGACACGCAACUAGUGACACGCAACUAGUGACACGCAACUAGUGACACGCAGGCGAGACUACCGACACGCAGCUACCGACACGCAACUAGUGACACGCAACUAGUGACACGCAACUAGUGACACGCAACUAGUGACACGCAACUAGUGACACGCAACUAGUGACACGCAGGCGAGACUACCGACACGCAGCUACCGACACGCAGCUACCGACACGCAGCUACCGACACGCAGCUACCGACACGCAGCUACCGACACGCAACUAGUGACACGCAGCUACCGACACGCAACUACCGACACGCAACUAGUGACACGCAGGCGAGACUACCGACACGCAGCUACCGACACGCAACUAGUGACACGCAGGCGAGAAUACCGACACGCAACUAGUGACACGCAACUAGUGACACGCAGGCGAGCUACCGACACGCAGCUACCGACACGCAGCUACCGACACGCAGCUACCGACACGCAGCUACCGACACGCAGCUACCGACAGACUAGCGACAGGCGGCGGGCGAGACUAGCGACAGGCGGCGGGCGAGACUAGCGACAGGCGGCGGGCGAGACUAGCGACAG